GCAGUCGUGGCCGAGUGUUUAAGGCGAUGAACUAGAAAUCCAUUGGGGUCUCCCCGCACAGGUUCGAAUCCUGUCGACUGCG
rnacentral:tRNA from 1 species